rnacentral:rRNA from 1 species
GUCUAUGGCCAUACCACCCUGAACACACCCGACUUCGUCUGAUCUCAGAAGCUAAGCAGGGUCAGGUCUGGGUAACACUUGGAUGGGAGAAUAGAAAACCUUGGUUGUCAUCAUCC